rnacentral:misc_RNA from 1 species
GUGAAUCAUCGAAUCUUUGAACGCAAAUUGCACUCUCCGGUUUUCCGGGAGAGUAUGCCUGUUUGAGGGUCAGCCUAAAAAAAAUCGACAUUGUUGCUGUUAUUUAAUGGUGACUUUCGUCGGAGAUUGGGUUAUCUUAAACCUUUUUUUUUUUUUUGGUUAAGGCGCCUUAAAUUUUUUUUUACCGUUUCAUGAAAGUUUUUAAAGUUUUUUUUUUUUUUACGUUUUAAGUUUUUUCAAUUUUUUUUUAACCUUACCCUC